rnacentral:rRNA from 1 species
CUAUACAUGCAGUCGAGCGAAUGGAUUAAGAGCUUGCUCUUAUGAAGUUAGCGGCGGACGGGUGAGUAACACGUGGGUAACCUGCCCAUAAGACUGGGAUAACUCCGGGAAACCGGGGCUAAUACCGGAUAACAUUUUGAACCGCAUGGUUCGAAAUUGAAAGGCGGCUUCGGCUGUCACUUAUGGAUGGACCCGCGUCGCAUUAGCUAGUUGGUGAGGUAACGGCUCACCAAGGCAACGAUGCGUAGCCGACCUGAGAGGGUGAUCGGCCACACUGGGACUGAGACACGGCCCAGACUCCUACGGGAGGCAGCAGUAGGGAAUCUUCCGCAAUGGACGAAAGUCUGACGGAGCAACGCCGCGUGAGUGAUGAAGGCUUUCGGGUCGUAAAACUCUGUUGUUAGGGAAGAACAAGUGCUAGUUGAAUAAGCUGGCACCUUGACGGUACCUAACCAGAAAGCCACGGCUAACUACGUGCCAGCAGCCGCGGUAAUACGUAGGUGGCAAGCGUUAUCCGGAAUUAUUGGGCGUAAAGCGCGCGCAGGUGGUUUCUUAAGUCUGAUGUGAAAGCCCACGGCUCAACCGUGGAGGGUCAUUGGAAACUGGGAGACUUGAGUGCAGAAGAGGAAAGUGGAAUUCCAUGUGUAGCGGUGAAAUGCGUAGAGAUAUGGAGGAACACCAGUGGCGAAGGCGACUUUCUGGUCUGUAACUGACACUGAGGCGCGAAAGCGUGGGGAGCAAACAGGAUUAGAUACUUUGGGUUAGUCCAAA